rnacentral:misc_RNA from 1 species
GGACUACUGGGGUUUCUAAUCCUGUUUGAUACCCACACUUUCGAGCAUCAGUGUCAGUUGCAGUCCAGUGAGCUGCCUUCGCAAUCGGAGUUCUUCGUGAUAUCUAAGCAUUUCACCGCUACACCACGAAUUCCGCCCACCUCUACUGUACUCAAGACUGACAGUAUCAACUGCAAUUUUACGGUUGAGCCGCAAACUUUCACAACUGACUUACCAGUCCACCUACGCUCCCUUUAAACCCAAUAAAUCCGGAUAACGCUCGGAUCCUCCGUAUUACCGCGGCUGCUGGCACGGAGUUAGCCGAUCCUUAUUCAUAUAAUACAUACAAAACAGUAUACAUACUGCACUUUAUUCUUAUAUAAAAGAAGUUUACGACCCAUAGAGCCUUCAUCCUUCACGC